UUAAAUACAGUGAAGAGAAGAGUAGCUAAGGAGUAAGUUUAAGCGAGCCGGUGGUGGUGAGAGUCCGGUAAUGGAGGCCUGAGUGAAGAACAUCUCUGAGUAUCUAACCGAAACCCUUAGGGAGAGUAGACUUAGACGGAGUGGCACCGUUAAAAGCACAGCAGUAUCGAAUAUAAUUCCGUACUGUUUUAAGUGAGCUCUUUAUGCUAAUUUGGGUGGUACCGCGGAAAGAUAACAACCUUUCGUCCCUUUG
rnacentral:ncRNA from 1 species